UGGAUCCAGACUUUGAUCAUGGCUCAGGAUGAACGCUAGCUACAGGCUUAACACAUGCAAGUCGAGGGGAAACGACAUCGAAAGCUUGCUUUUGAUGGGCGUCGACCGGCGCACGGGUGAGUAACGCGUAUCCAACCUGCCCACCACUUGGGGAUAACCUUGCGAAAGUAAGACUAAUACCCAAUGAUAUCUCUAGAAGACAUCUGAAAGAGAUUAAAGAUUUAUCGGUGAUGGAUGGGGAUGCGUCUGAUUAGCUUGUUGGCGGGGUAACGGCCCACCAAGGCUACGAUCAGUAGGGGUUCUGAGAGGAAGGUCCCCCACAUUGGAACUGAGACACGGUCCAAACUCCUACGGGAGGCAGCAGUGAGGAAUAUUGGUCAAUGGACGAGAGUCUGAACCAGCCAAGUAGCGUGCAGGAUGACGGCCCUAUGGGAUGUAAACUGCUUUUAUAAGGGAAUAAAGUGAGUCUCGUGAGACUUUUUGCAUGUACCUUAUGAAUAAGGACCGGCUAAUUCCGUGCCAGCAGCCGCGGUAAUACGGAAGGUCCGGGCGUUAUCCGGAUUUAUUGGGUUUAAGGGAGCGUAGGCCGGAGAUUAAGCGUGUUGUGAAAUGUAGAUGCUCAACAUCUGCACUGCAGCGCGAGCUGGUUUCCUUGAGUACGCACAAAGUGGGCGGAAUUCGUGGUGUAGCGGUGAAAUGCUUAGAUAUCACGAAGAACUCCGAUUGCGAAGGCAGCUCACUGGAGCGCAACUGACGCUGAAGCUCGAAAGUGCGGGUAUCGAACAGGAUUAGAUACCCUGGUAGUCCGCACGGUAAACGAUGGAUGCCCGCUGUUGGUCUGAAUAGGUCAGCGGCCAAGCGAAAGCAUUAAGCAUCCCACCUGGGGAGUACGCCGGCAACGGUGCAACUCAAAGGAAUUGACGA
rnacentral:rRNA from 1 species